CUGACAUGAAUCAGGAUGUAACUUAGGGGGGUUACUGAACUGUGUUAUUGAGGUGUUGAUGGCUCUCAGUUCUGCACCACAGCAGCUGAAGCUCUGUCGUAAGGGAUGGAUGACUAAAUGACAAGGCACAGAUGAUGUGCCUCCUGUGGAAGCAUCUAUGGAAGAUGUAAAUGGGAUCUCCUGGAGACCUAAAUGAGGCCUCUAAAGGUUAACCUGUGGGCAGGUGUAGGAUGCCAGGAGGGAAUGUUCACCCAGCUACUCUGAGGCUGAUGACGUGCACAGGUAACCCGAGAGCUUGUUGCACAGCUUUUGUGCCUGGGGUUGCUGUGGGAUCCUACAGAGCUGGCUGGCUCUGUCCCUGUGUGUGCCAUGCUCUUGAUGGCUCUGUUUUCUUCCUUGUCCCUGUUGUGCCAUGCUCACCUCAGCUCUGUCCCUGUGUGUGCCAUGCCCACAUCACCAGGCUGUGCUGCCCCUCCUGAGCAUGUGCCUUUCAGCUGUGUUUUAAUUCAAUGUGCAAUGCCUGUUGCCCAGUAACUCUCUGGCUGCAUGGUCCUAUUCUGUGCUGCCCUGUCUGGAUUAUUCAGGAAUAUCUGGGAACCUGUGUCCCUGAACUGUCUGUUAUCAGGAAGCCCUAAGAAGGUUUUACUGUACUCUCUUUAUUUUUCCUUUCCCUCCCACACCUCACACAACAUGGGGCAACAGCACAGGAUGCAGUCAAAUGGUGACCUACAAACAUCACUGUCAGCAAUAGAUGAUGCAAGAACAAGGCUGAACUUCCAGCCCAUUAGGCUCUGUGGAGCCAGACGGCAGACGGGUGAUGUGGUGUGUCUGCAUACCUCCCCCAGGCACUGGAGAAGAGGUAAGAUGCAAAACCCUUCCUGCACUGCAAGGAGGUACAAGAUCCUUCUCAUCCUCAAAGGAACACACUGCUGCCACAGGGGUGCCAUGGGACAAGCUCAUGGACUGCGGGAAUCACUCCUAGAAGAGACAGGGAUGGCAAAAGGAGAAGGCAUUUGCAAAGCCUUCUGAAAUGGUGCCUCCCCUGGCUAAAAGGGCUCACCUUGAAGGCACCUGAAGGGCUUCUGAGCCACUUCAGACAACUUCCCAGUGCUGACUGUCCUGUGUGAAACAAGGAACUUGGCUCAGUCGGGACAGCAGAGGUUUGUCAGAGCCUGUGUCCCACUGGAACUGCCCUCAUUCUCCAACUUGAAGUGUUUGUCUCUUCUAUCAGCCCUGGCAGUGGGGCAGUUUAAGGGAUCACUCCACACUUCUGUUGGCAUAAAGCUGGUACCUAUUUUCCCUGUGGAAGCAGGAGUUACUGAACUGGUUUAGGUGACUGUGACUAGAGUCCCAGUGAACUGUGUGGGUUAUUUUGGCACAGGUACAGUGGAAAAGUGCUAAUCCCCUCAUCUGCACUUGUUAAACCUUUUCACUAAAGAUCACUUUGAUGAAAGUGCAAGGCUGAGAGGUCAGGGUUUUGCUAAAGCACUCACCAGAGACUCAAGCAACAGCAGCUGUGAGUGGUAGUGAGCUUUGAGAUCUGUCCUUUUGAGCCCUAGUGGAAAAGAUGAAGAGGCACCAGCUCCUAUGCUCUCCAUCUCUAUGGGGCAAAGCCAGACCCAGAGGAAUUUGGGUCUGAUUCACAGCUGAGCAGGAAAGGUGACCUAGAACUGCCCCACAUCAGUGAUUUCAUGUAAGUCAUCUGACUGAUGUGUGAGGGAUUCACCAAAAGACGGAAAUGAAUAACUUCCAAAACUACCUUGGAGGACUGGGUUCUCAGAUGAAAAUGUGCUGAAAUGUGUGGAACCCAGGAAGAAAAGGCUACAUUAGUGCAGCCACAAGAGCACACGGCUCCUCUGGAAAGAUUAAGAAUGCUGUGAAUUCUGAUUGUUUGCUUGCCCUUUUUUUUCGUCCUGUGGUAUUUACAGUGUCCUGAUACUCACUCAGCUUUCCUAGCUAACAGCUAGGGAGGUGGAUGGAGCUGCCUGAAAUCCUGGCACCUUCAUGCUUCAGGCACCCUGCAGGAGGC
ensembl:lncRNA